CCUACGGGAGGCUGCAGUGAGGAAUAUUGGUCAAUGGGCGAGAGCCUGAACCAGCCAAGUCGCGUGAAGGAUUACUGCCCUAUGGGUUGUAAACCUCUUUUGUCGGGGAGCAAAAUCCGAACAUGUCCGGCUGUCAGACUACCCGAAGCAUAAGCAUCGGCUAACUCCGUGCCAGCAGCCGCAGUAAUACGGAGGAUGCGAGCGUUAUCCGGAUUUAUUGGGUUUAAAGGGUACGCAGGCGGAUUGUUAAGUCAGCGGUAAACUCCCGGGGCUCAACCCCAUCCCGCCGUUGAAACUGGUGAUCUAGAGUGAGAGAGAGGUAUGCGGAAUGCGUGGUGUAGCGGUGAAAUGCAUAGAUAUCACGCAGAACCCCGAAUGCGAAGGCAGCAUACCGGUGCACAACUGACGCUCAGGCACGAAAGCGUGGGUAUCGAACAGGAUUAGAUACCCCUGUAGUC
rnacentral:rRNA from 1 species